rnacentral:rRNA from 1 species
GAUGAACGCUGGCGGCGUGCCUAAUACAUGCAAGUCGAGCGAACAGACGAGGAGCUUGCUCCUCUUACGUUAGCGGCGGACGGGUGAUUAACACGUGUAUAACCUACCUAUAAGACUGGGAUAACUUCGGGAAACCGGAUCUAAUACCGGAUAAUAUAUUGAACCGCAUGGUUCAAUAGUGAAAGACGGUUUUGCUGUCACUUAUAGAUGGAUCCGCGCCGCAUUAGCUAGUUGGUAAGGUAACGGCUUACCAAGGCAACGAUGCGUAGCCGACCUGAGAGGGUGAUCGGCCACACUGGAACUGAGACACGGUCCAGACUCCUACGGGAGGCAGUAGUAGGGAAUCUUCCGCAAUGGGCGAAAGCCUGACGGAGCAACGCCGCGUGAGUGAUGAAGGUCUUCGGAUCGUAAAACUCUGUUAUUAGGGAAGAACAAAUGUGUAAGUAACUAUGCACGUCUUGACGGUACCUAAUCAGAAAGCCACGGCUAACUACGUG